AAAAGAACCUACAAAGUAUCAAAGAUGGGCUACAGUUGGUGCCUCAACAUGGUGCUUCAAAGUUAAGGAUAAAAUGGGAAAUUUGAUUUCAGCUGCCCACAGAGGAAACGGCAGGGGAUGAAGGAAUGUUUUGGUUUUUUUUUCCCCCAAGACACCAGAAAAAGUGUAUUGGUGCUGGGAUAUCUGCUCCCAGAGGGGAUUUUCCGUUUUGUUUUGUUUUCUUUUCUUUUCUUUUCUUUUUUUUCGGAGCUGGGGACCGAACCCAGGGCCUUGCGCUUGCUAGGCUCUACCACUGAGCUAAAUCCCCAACCCUUUGUUUUUGUUUUUGUUUUCCUUUUAUUCUUAAAAAAAAAGGGGGAGGGUCAGGAGAACAGCUAAGCAGUUGGGAAAAUUGCAGGUGGAAAUGGCGGGGCCUGAGAAACAGCAGCUACAACAUGGCUGAAAUGGAAUAACAGAAGGGGUCACUCUACUCUUCUGAAAGGGUUGCAGAGUUCGGGGUGCAGCUGGAGAGGUUGAGGGUGGAGAUGGCAGCACUUGGGAAUCAAGGAGCACCAGAGAGAGAACAAGGCUCCGUCUGGGUGACUGGGAGAGCAGGCAGGUGUUUCCGCAGGUGAAAAGGGGGAAACAACUUCACCAGGAGAAGGUCCGGUCAGAGAGGAGCUGGAAAAGCAGGAAGACAGGCUGAUGGGAGAGUUAGGGAAGGGGUGGCCUGGGGUUAGGAGACCACCAUCAGCUUUUCCAGUGCUCAUACAGCGCAUGCCUGCUAAUGGUGGGAACACAGUUAUGAUGAGAUGGGAUGGCGUCCUACAGAAACGAUACACCUAAGGCCUUUUAAAGAGGCUAUGGUUUCAUGUGGGAUGCAUUUGCCUUACGUGAAACAAAUUCUAAAUAACUGGGCUACUCAAAGUAGAAUUAAUCCCCUAAACUGGAAGAGAUUGGGAACAGCUGUACUAGAGGCCAGUCUGAAGUUGCAGUGGUCACCAUGGUGGAGGGAAAAAGUUGUGAAUACUGAAAAGGAAAUAGAGUAAGGGGAAUGAAUACAGUAAAAUGCAGUUGCUAGAUGAAGGGUGGUGCAGUUGCUAGGUGAAGGGUGGUGGUGCAGUUGCUAGGUGAAGGGUGGUGGUGCAGUUGCUACGUGAAGGGUGGUGGUGCAGUUGCUACGUGAAGGGUGGUGGUGCAGUUGCUACGUGAAGGGUGGUGCUCUGACAAACAGCAGCAGAUUCAGUGUAGUGAUGCUGCUGUAGAACAAUGUCGCUGAGGUUCUGUAAGAGCUUGGGGAAAAGUAUGCCUCACUCACAAAGAUUAUACAAGGCUCUGCAGAAGCCUUCGCUGAUUUUUUACAAAGAUUCGUCUCAACUAUGAACAACGCUAAAUCAGACCCUGACUCAAGGCAGGUGUUGAUAGAGACCAUGGCUCAUGAAGAUACGAACAGGGAAUGUAAAAGCUAUUAAACCAUUAAAGGCUCCAUCGGCACCUAUAGACGGUGGAUAAGGAAUCCCAACCCAACCAGCGCUGGUUCUAACACACACCAUGCUAAUAUCAAACUAUAGCUAGAGGUCUCCAAUAUCAAAGUGCUCAGUGCUUCAGUUGCAGAAAAUAAAGUCAUUUGCAAAGAGACUGUGACAAGGGUGCUAAAGGCCUCAGAUCUCAAAAUGCCUAGUGCUUUAAUUGUGGGGAAAAUGAUCGUUUGCAACAAAAUUGUGAACAAGGCAUCUCUGAGGACAAUGGUUUUUCUAAAUAUAAACCAGAAAGAAAGCCUAGGCUUCCAGGGGUGCACAGGGAAUGUGGCCAGGGUUGACAUUGGAGCCAUGAGUGUAGGUCCAAGAGAGAGAUUCAAGGUCAUUUCUGACCAUCAGAAACAGCCCUGGGGGCCUAGCCUGAGACCCU
ensembl:lncRNA